GAUGAAGAACGUAGCGAAAUGCGAUAAGUAAUGUGAAUUGCAGAAUUCAGUGAAUCAUCGAAUCUUUGAACGCACAUUGCGCCCUCUGGUAUUCCGGGGGGCAUGCCUGUUCGAGCGUCAUUAUAACCACUCAAGCUCUCGCUUGGUAUUGGGGUUCGCGGUUUCGCGGCCCCUAAAUCAGUGGCGGUGCCUGUCGGCUCUACGCGUAGUAAUACUUCUCGCGAUUGAGUUCGAUAGGUCUACUUGCCAGUAACCCCCAAUUUUUACAGGUUGACCUCGGAUCAGGUAGGGAUACCCGCUGAACUUAAGCAUAUCAAUAAGCGGAGGA
rnacentral:misc_RNA from 1 species